rnacentral:rRNA from 1 species
CCUACGGGAGGCAGCAGUGGGGAAUUUUGCGCAAUGGGCGAAAGCCUGACGCAGCAACGCCGCGUGUGUGAUGAAGGUCUUCGGAUUGUAAAGCACUUUCGACCGGGACGAAAACCCGAAGCCCAAUACGCUUCGGCUUGACGGUACCGGGAGAAGAAGCACCGGCUAACUCUGUGCCAGCAGCCGCGGUAAU